rnacentral:lncRNA from 1 species
GAAGUUGUCAAGAUAUGAACAGAAUAAGACAAAGGGGUAAGGGACUUGAUGGUAAAAAUAUUGCAAAUAGAAACUAACUCUGGGGUAAGCAUUUCAAAGGGAUGAAAAUGAGCACAGAGCAUGGCUGUUGGACAGAAACAAUAGGGAGGGGUGAAGUGAAUGGAGGUCCCAACCAGAACACAGGAGAAAUGAGACAGCAGAGAAUUGGAAGUCUAAGAAAGGAAGGUGAAUUUGGAAUCAUGGAAGUUGAUCAUGAGUUUGCCUUUCACCAGUUUCACAUUUUUGGGAUAAGGAAACUGAGGAUGAGAGAGGAUACAUGACUUGCCUAAUAACAUCUCCUGGAUAAUAAAGAUUCAAAUUGAGGUCUUCUUGGGUCCA